AUUGGACAGAGUCAAGAAGAAAGUCCUUAGCCAAGGCUAACAGCACAGGCUGGGGGAGGGGAACUGUACAGGGCCACGCUGCUUCUCCACAGCACACCCAAUGGAGGACAAGUGGGUUUCUCUUCUGGAAACAGGGGAUAAGCCACGUUAGGGAUGCACUGAAGACCCCUGCUGAGUGACAUCUUCACAGGCCCAGGCAGGUCCUGCCUGUUUUCUCACCAGCUGUCCUGAGCACACAUCACAGUCCUAGGCUCACAAGGAGACAGAGGCAGAGUCUCCCUAUGUUGCUUAUGCUGGUCUCGAACUCCUGAGCUCAAGAGAUUAUCACAGGAGACUUUUUAAAGAAAACACAAAGCUUUUUGGGAUUUGGACCAUUGAAUUGCAAUAUUGAAAAUGCAGUGCUCAGAUCAGCGGGGAAGACCUGAGCCUUGCAGGAGGAUGCCAAGACCCCAAGUUGGCAGUUCCAGGCUUCACGACUGGGUUAUACACAGCGCCGGCUUCCUGGUCUCACAGGGAAACAGGUCUCGGCCUCCAUCAGCCCCCAUUGUGUGCAGGGCGAUCCCGCACAGGAGAAGCCUGGGGUGAUGGCUCUGCGGCGAGCAAGCUGGCUGGGCUGAACUACACUGCCCAAAAUUCUGUCUCGUGUGGUCCUCGUGGAGCGGACAGCAAGGGAUAUGCUCUCCUGAGAGUUUUAGGGGAGGGAGUCAACCUCUUUGCAGCUUGUCUGCCUGGAGGGUCUGCUGCGUGAAACAGCAGCCGGAUCUGCAUCUGCUCCAUCCUCGGCGCCCCUCCCCAGGGCCUUCGGCUCUCCCACACCCUCGGCAGGCUGUGUGAGCCCCGGGAUGAAGGCGCAGCCUCUGCAGGACACCCUCUCACCGAGGUCAGGGGCAGUGAGGACGGAUGCGGGUCCCAGUCCAUCCUCAGGAGGUCCUGGCUUGCGGGGCCCCAGCUCAUCCUGGCGGAGUCUCACCGCGUGUUUAGGGGGUUCCCUUCCUGACCGCCUCCCUGUGGGCUUUAUCACCAGCCUCUCCAUGGCGUAGGCUCAGUCCCUGCGGCAAAUUCCUACUCAUGGUCGGCUUCUCUGGUGGAAGUCUGACUGAGAGCCACUAAAUCAGGGGAUCCCUGGGCCUAAGCUGACGUCGGUGGCUGAGGUCCUGGGUCGCCGCACUCACCGGUCACUCCUGUGCCCCACCACGGUCUGCCAGACUCAGUUGAGUAAGUGUGGGCAGGGUCCCUGGCUCAGGGCAGGUGGCCGUCCCAGAGUCUUUUUAUUUAGCGAUGCUCAUCGCAACCCUAGUUUGCCGCACACCGCCUCUGCUCGCAAGGGCUCCAAAGGCCUUGGAGAAGCAGCUUGGAUGGCUGGUUAAGGGUGUCACGUUUCGAGACGGGCAUGAAAGGAGCCGGGGUUCCCAAUUCCUGACCUCCGAGCAGGUUCCUCACCCUGGGCACUGCUGCCACAGGUGCACCCUGCGCACUGGAGGACAUUUAGAGGUAUCCCUGGCCUUUGCCCCCCUGAUACCAAGAGUACCCUCCCCCCACAAGUUGUAGCAACCAAAAUGUCUCCAGACAUACCCUAUCCCAGGGGGCAAAAUCGCCCCCGAUGGAGAACCACCACCUUCGAUGCGGA
rnacentral:lncRNA from 1 species